rnacentral:rRNA from 1 species
UAAGCUGACGAGUGGCGAACGGGUGAGUAAUAUAUCGGAACGUGCCCAGUCUGGGGGAGUAACUGCUCGAAAGAGCAGCUAAUACCGCAUACGACCUGAGGGUGAAAGCGGGGGAUCGCAAGACCUCGCGCGAUUGGAGCGGCCGAUAUCAGAUUAGGUAGUUGGUGGGGUAAAGGCCCACCAAGCCAACGAUCUGUAGCUGGUCUGAGAGGACGACCAGCCACACUGGGACUGAGACACGGCCCAG